CCUGUUGUUCGACCAACAGUAGCCUAUGGGCAGUGCGUUGCUGGUAACGGCAAGGUGCGAAGCGCCCUGACAAUGUAGUCCCACUCUGUGGUCUGGUUUGCCCGUGAGGGUUGCCGGGGAUUCUGCCAGCAACAGGCGGAUGAGACG
rfam:Alcanivorax borkumensis SK2, complete genome